rnacentral:rRNA from 1 species
GAAAUCUUCCACAAUGGGCGAAAGCCUGAUGGAGCAACGCCGCGUGUGUGAUGAAGGGUUUCGGCUCGUAAAACACUGUUGUAAGAGAAGAAUGACAUUGAGAGUAACUGUUCAAUGUGUGACGGUAUCUUACCAGAAAGGAACGGCUAAAUACGUGCCAG